CAAAACAUCCCUUAAGUCUUGUAUUGGAUGAUGGGAAUCUAAACCCUUCCCAGAGUAUCAAUUGGAGGGCAAGUCUGGUGCCAGCAGCCGCGGUAAUUCCAGCUCCAAUAGCGUAUAUUAAAGUUGUUGCAGUUAAGAAGCUCGUAGUUGAAUUUCUGCCUUGUCAUUAAUCUCGCUUCCGAGCGUUUUUUUAUUGACUUGGCAUCUUCUGGAUUUGGUGCCUUCGGGUACUAUUUUCCAGGAUUUACUUUGAGAAAACUAGAGUGUUUCAAACAGGCAUUCGCCUUGAAUACUACAGCAUGGAAUAAUGAAGUAGGACUUUGGUUCUAUUUUGUUGGUUAUUGAGCCAGAGUAAUGGUUAAUAGGAGGAGGGGGGAG
rnacentral:rRNA from 1 species